UAGGGAAUCUUCCGCAAUGGACGAAAGUCUGACGGAGCAACGCCGCGUGAGUGAAGAAGGAUUUCGGUUCGUAAAACUCUGUUGUUAGGGAAGAAAAAAUGUAUAGUAACUAUAUACAAAAGAGACGGUACCUAACCAGAAAGCCACGGCUAACUACGUGCCAGCAGCCGCGGUAAUACGUAGGUGGCAAGCGUUGUCCGGAAUUAUUGGGCGUAAAGAGUGCGUAGGCGGCAAAUUAAGUCAGAUGUGAAAACUAAGGGCUCAACCCAUAGAUUGCAUCUGAAACUGAUAUGCUUGAGUCAAGGAGAGGAAAGUGGAAUUCCUAGUGUAGCGGUGGAAGGCGUAGAUAUUAGGAGGAAUACCGGUGGCGAAGGCGACUUUCUGGACUUGAACUGACGCUGAGGCACGAAAGCGUGGGGAGCAAACAGG
rnacentral:rRNA from 1 species